rnacentral:rRNA from 1 species
GUUAGGGGUUUCCGCCCCUUAGUGCUGCAGCUAACGCAUUAAGCACUCCGCCUGGGAGUACGGUCGCAAGACUGAAACUCAAAGGAAUUGACGGGGGCCCGCACAAGCGGUGGAGCAUGUGGUUUAAUUCGAAGCAACGCGAAGAACCUUACCAGGUCUUGACAUCCCGCCGACCGCCUAGGAGACUAGGCCUUCCCUUCGGGGACGGCGGUGACAGGUGGUGCAUGGUUGUCGUCAGCUCGUGUCGUGAGAUGUUGGGUUAAGUCCCGCAACGAGCGCAACCCUUGAUCUUAGUUGCCAGCAUUCAGUUGGGCACUCUAAGGUGACUGCCGGUGACAAACCGGAGGAAGGUGGGGAUGACGUCAAAUCAUCAUGCCCCUUAUGACCUGGGCUACACACGUGCUACAAUGGAUGGUACAAAGGGCUGCGAACCCGCGAGGGGGAGCCAAUCCCAUAAAACCAUUCUCAGUUCGGAUUGUAGGCUGCAACUCGCCUACAUGAAGCUGGAAUCGCUAGUAAUCGUGGAUCAGCAUGCCACGGUGAAUACGUUCCCGGGCCUUGUACACACCGCCCGUCACACCACGAGAGUUUGUAACACCCGAAGUCGGUGGGGUAACCUUUAUGGAGCCAGCCGCCGAGGGUGGA